GACGAACGCUGGCGGCGUGCUUAACACAUGCAAGUCGUGCGGUAAGGCCCUGCUUUGGUGGGGUACACGAGCGGCGAACGGGUGAGUAACACGUGGGUGACCUGCCUUCAGCUUUGGGAUAAGCCUGGGAAACUGGGUCUAAUACCGGAUAUGACCUUGGGGUGCAUGCCUUGGGGUGGAAAGCCUGUGUUGUUUGGCAUGGGUGCUGGGGAUGGGCCCGCGGUCUAUCAGCUUGNGGUGGGGUGAUGGCCUACCAAGGCGACGACGGGUAGCCGGCCUGAGAGGGCGUUCGGCCACACUGGGACUGAGACACGGCCCAGACUCCUACGGGAGGCAGCAGUGGGGAAUAUUGCGCAAUGGGCGGAAGCCUGACGCAGCGACGCCGC
rnacentral:rRNA from 1 species